CUAGUUUUUUAAUUCCAGCGAAAGAAUCUCUUCACCCAUCCAUAUAUGAAACUUGAAAUCCAAACAAAACAGUCACCAGAAGGAUUGAAAAAGAAAAAAGCAGAUUCGUUUGUAAAAAUUAAAGAUUAGCUGAUGAAUCUGGAAGAAAAUGAUUGUAAGGGGGCAUUACUGACAGCAAAAACAUGGAUUUAAAGUUAAUGCUGCAAAGCGGAUCCCUUUCUUCACUUUUGCACCUUUGAGAUUAGGCAAAUAAUCAGGAAUAUUGCUCAUUAUGCCUAGGUAAUUAGUGCAAUACUAUUAUCCCAAACAUAAAUUAAAAGAAAUAUUGAAGAAGAUGAAGAUGAAGAAGAAAUCACCAGAACUGGGUUCUCACCCCUUUCGCCCGCCCACCACUUGGAGAGAUGGAGCAUGGUUGCCUCUUAUAUAUAUUGGCUUUUAGGGCAUAACAUGUAAGACCCAUUCACACCAUAUCUCUGGUAUACAAUAUGAUGUAAUAUUCUGAUUGGAAAAUCAGCAACCGUGGGUGUUGGACGGUUCAGAUUAGGAAUGUCA
rnacentral:lncRNA from 1 species